UACAGAGGUCCCAAGCGUUGUUCGGAUUCACUGGGCGUAAAGGGUGCGUAGGUGGUGAGGUAAGUCGGAUGUGAAAUCUCCGAGCUCAACUCGGAAACUGCAUUGGAAACUACCUUGCUCGAGGGUUGGAAGGGGGACUGGAAUGCUUGGUGUAGCAGUGAAAUGCGUAGAUAUCAAGCGGAACACCAGUGGCGAAGGCGAGUCCCUGGACAACUCCUGACACUGAUGCACGAAAGCUAGGGGAGCAAACAGG
rnacentral:rRNA from 1 species